rnacentral:rRNA from 1 species
AGCGAACGCUGGCGGCAGGCUUAACACAUGCAAGUCGAGCGGGCACUCUCGGGUGUCUGCGGCCGACGGGUGGGUAACGCGUGGGAACGUGCCCUCUGGUUCGGAAUAACUCAGGGAAACUUGAGCUAAUACCGGAUACGCCCUUUUGGGCAAAGGCUUGCUGCCGGAGGAUCGGCCCGCGUCUGAUUAGCUAGUUGUGGAGGUAACGGCGCACCAAGGCGACGUUCAGUAGCUGGUCUGAGAGGAUGAUCAGCCACACUGGGACUGAGACACGGCCCAGACUCCUACGGGAGGCAGGAGUGGGGAAUAUUGGACAAUGGGCGCAAGCCUGAUCCAGCCAUGCCGCGUGAGUGAUGAAGGCCUUAGGGUUGUAAAGCUCUUUUAUCCGGGACGAUAAUGACGGUACCGGAGGAAUAAGCCCCGGCUAACUUCGUG